AUUGAACGCUGGCGGCAUGCCUUACACAUGCAAGUCGAACGGCAGCACGGGAGCAAUCCUGGUGGCGAGUGGCGAACGGGUGAGUAAUACAUCGGAACGUACCUGGUAGUGGGGGAUAGCCCGGCGAAAGCCGGAUUAAUACCGCAUACGACCUGAGGGUGAAAGCGGGGGAUCGCAAGACCUCGCGCUAUUGGAGCGGCCGGUGGCAGAUUAGGUAGUUGGUGGGGUAAAGGCCUACCAAGCCUACGAUCUGUAGCUGGUUUGAGAGGACGACCAGCCACACUGGGACUGAGACACGGCCCAGACUCCUACGGGAGGCGGCAGUGGGGAAUUUUGGACAAUGGGCGCAAGCCUGAUCCAGCCAUGCCGCGUGCGGGAAGAAGGCCUUCGGGUUGUAAACCGCUUUUGUCAGGGAAGAAAUACUCUGGGCUAAUACCCUGGGGUGAUGACGGUACCUGAAGAAUAAGCACCGGCUAACUACGUGCCAGCCGCCGCCGUAAUAC
rnacentral:rRNA from 1 species